AGUAAUGUCUGGGAAACUGCCUGAUGGAGGGGGAUAACUACUGGAAACGGUAGCUAAUACCGCAUAACGUCGCAAGACCAAAGAGGGGGACCUUAGGGCCUCUUGCCAUCGGAUGUGCCCAGAUGGGAUUAGCUAGUAGAUGGGGUAACGGCUCACCUAGGCGACGAUCCCUAGCUGGUCUGAGAGGAUGACCAGCCACACUGGAACUGAGACACAGUCCAG
rnacentral:rRNA from 1 species